CUCAUUUUCUUUAAUCUGGCUCUGCCUUUCUCUUGCUUUAUUGAAAUGGCUAUCAUUCAGAGAGCAUUUUCUUAUACCAAUUUCACUAUUUCCCAAGCUUUUUCUAUUAUUUUUAUCUGUAGCCUCAUUAUUACUACUUUUUCUACCUCCAAGUGUCACCCUAUGUGCCUGGCUUCAUAAUUCUCUUCUAAACACAUCUGAAUACUUUGGCUUUGCUCCAGUUGUUAUAGCAUUUUGUAUUUCACUCAAAUCAGGAGCUUGCUGUGAGGACUUUAACUUGCAGUGUGAACAGUAAGUAGAUUUCUUGUAUCUAUUUCUGCAUUAUGUUUGUCUCUGUUAUUAGUCUUACGUUUCUUCUUCAAAAAGCAGCUUCUAAACCAGACUGUAUAGUUAAAAAGAGAAUAGAAAGAAGGAAAGUAGAAGCACCUUUUAUGAGCAUCCUCAAGGAUUUCAGUCAGAAAAGAGAAGAGAGACAGGAGAAUAUAGCUCUCAGGGACAGGUGGAUAAAAUGAAGGGUUUUUCCAGAUGGGGAAGUAAUAAAGCUGUCAUUAGAUUAGAAGAGUUUGAAAAAAUGAGAAUAUGGAAGUACUAGAGAGAUUCUCUGCUCGAUGAAUGAUGAAGAAAAAAGAGCAUAUUUUGGAGUUUCCUUCAAAAUAUAAGGGAACAACAUAUUGUCCUUUCUACCCCGAGUCCUGUGGCUGAGAUUUAUGUUCUCACUUAUUCUUCUAGAGAGUGACAUUGGUAUAGGGCCCUUCACCCAUAUCCCAGACCAUGGAGCACCAGGAGACAUGACAUCAGUGACCAGUGAAUCUACUGUAUGUGCCAUGGGAUUCUCUACUGAGACUUCAGGGACACUGAAGAAAGUGAGUGGAUCUGACCAGGGAAGAGAACCAACAAACUCCACCAGUAUCCCUAUGACUGGCUUUAUCGGGAGAGAUUCCAUUGCUGACACUGAAAAGGACAUACGUGUCAUGGAGACAACUCCAAGAGCCACAGCCACUCAAGACCCACUUCUCACUGUUUGCACUGGAGCAGGUGACCUCAUCCCUGGGAUGCACAGGAGAACUGUGUCCUCUCCCACCGAAACCUCAGUUCCAUCUGAGAUAUCCUCUGGAGUCACCAUUGCCAUUGCAAGGACCUCACUCUCCAUGACUCCAGUAGAAAUCACAGCUAGCCCCGGCUCCAGUGCUCCCUUAAACAUCAGCCUAAGCACAAGAACAGCUUCCCUUGAGCCUGCUACUUCGUUGGAGGACCCAGGGCCAGCCGGCCUGCCUCCAGAAACUGAGAGAAACCCACAGGCAACACCAACUCCAGCUAUCACCCUGCCUCCAGCCAGCACACAGGAAGUUUGCACAA
rnacentral:lncRNA from 1 species